rnacentral:rRNA from 1 species
UACGGGGGGGAGCAAGCGUUGUUCGGAUUUACUGGGCGUAAAGGGCGCGUAGGCGGCCAGCACAAGUCAGUUGUGAAAUCUCCGAGCUUAACUCGGAAAGGUCAACUGAUACUGUGCGGCUAGAGUGCGGAAGGGGCAACUGGAAUUCUUGGUGUAGCGGUGAAAUGCGUUGAUAUCAUUCGGAACACCGAAAGCGAAGGCAGAGCACUGGGUGCCACCUGACACUGCUAGGACGAGAGCGUGGGGAGCGAAUGGG